rnacentral:lncRNA from 1 species
CAGGCCAGGAUCCUGGGUGAAAUGUGGCACAUUUGAGGAGACUUCAACUUCCCUUGCCCUCCAGAGGCGGGGUUUCACCAUGUUGCCCAGACUGGUCUUGAACUCCUGAGCUUAAGCAAUCCACCUGCCUCGGCCUCCCAAAGUGUUGGGAUCACAGGCGUGAGCCACCGCAUCCGGCCUCAUGUUCUUUUUCAUUAAAGAGAGAAAUCAACUAUUCAGGACCGGCCCCCACCUUUCCUCAGGAGUCAUUUCUGUUCCGCACAGGCCUGCUGAACUGGGUGCUUUAUAUAGGACACUGUCAUCUCUCAAGUACCCAUCUUGGAGGGUACGGACCCCACAUGAGGAAAGGACCAACCACACCGAGCUCAGUUAUGGCACACACAGUGGGACCUAGACAAAGGGAGAGGGUGACCGACAUCCCAACUAGAUUUCAGUGGAGUGAAGUUCAGGAGGCAUGGAGCUGACAACCAUGAGGCCUCGGCAGCCACCGCCACCACCGCCGCCGCCACCACCGUAGCAGCAGCAGCAGCAGCAGCAGCAGCAGCAGCAGCAGCAAGAGUAACUCUGACUUAGGAAUAGAGACAGCCAGAGAGAAAUGUGAUCAAUGAAGGAGACAUCUGGAGUGUGCGUGCUUCUUCAGAGGGACGGGUGAUGGGCAGAUUGGAAAAAGCACCGCAGAUGGGAACCUUAAUCUUUCUUUUCUAAAAUUGAUGCUAUGAAAAUUUGCGUUUUCUGUAACUUGUAAAAACUAAAAGUUGCUUGUCUACUGAAAAGCCUCUCUGCCUCUAUGUUUUAUACCAUCGGAUGCCAACUCCCGGCCUUCUAAGCCACCUCCCCUUUAGGCUAAAACUGAGACAUGAACUUGAAAAAUUGACACUGGCUUCCUCUCUCUUUAGGGUCCCCAGGCAGGUGGCUGGGACACUAUUUGCAAUCAGCAAGGAACCCUGCUGCCCUUAGACUCCCCACAGAGCAAGCAGAACUUGCAGAAUGGGGUAAAAACACUCUAUUAAAGAUUUUUUAAACCUAUUUAUAUUGUAAUAAAGUAAAUGUAAAUAAAAUUUA